rnacentral:rRNA from 1 species
AUGUUCUUAUGGAUUGUUGGAGGCCCUCAAUCAUUUGCUCAAGCUGAGAACCGUUUUGUACGAUCACUUUGGACAGUUCAUACAAAGUUUAAGGAAGUUUUGUUAUGUUUGCGCAAGUUAGCGAAAGAUAACAUCAAACCUAGAGAUCCUACUUUUAGGCAUGAGCAUGAAAAGAUUAAGGAAGAGCGUUUCUGGCCUCAUUUCAAAGGCGCUAUUGGUGCCAUAGAUGGAUCACAUGUGCCAGUUUCAGUGCCUGCAGAUGAUGCGGUUAACCAUAGAUGUUGA